rnacentral:rRNA from 1 species
GUCCACGCCGUAAACGAUGGAUGCUAGCCGUCAGCAAGCAUGCUUGUUGGUGGCGCAGCUAACGCAUUAAGCAUCCCGCCUGGGGAGUACGGCCGCAAGGUUAAAACUCAAAGGAAUUGACGGGGGCCCGCACAAGCGGUGGAGCAUGUGGUUUAAUUCGACGCAACGCGAAGAACCUUACCAACCCCUUGACAUGUCCGGUCGGUUUUCCAGAGAUGGAUUCCUCCCAGCAAUGGGCCGGAACACAGGUGCUGCAUGGCUGUCGU